rnacentral:rRNA from 1 species
GCUAAGAAGUAAGUCGUACAGGUUCCGUAGGUGAACCUGCGGAAGGAUCAUUAUUGAAAU